rnacentral:rRNA from 1 species
AACCUGGUUGAUCCUGCCAGUAGUCAUACGCUCGUCUCAAAGAUUAAGCCAUGCAUGUCUAAGUAUAAACAAUUGUACUGUGAAACUGCGAAUGGCUCAUUAUACCAGUUAUAGUUUAUUUGAUAGUACCUACUACUUGGAUAACCGUAGUAAUUCUAGAGCUAAUACAUGCAUUAACUCCCAACUGCCUCGGCGGACGGGAUGUAUUUAUUAGAUAAAAACCAAUGCGGGCAGCAAUGUCCGGUGUUGCGGUGAGUCAUAAUAACUUUGCGAAUCGUAUGGCCAAGCGCCGACGAUGAAUCAUUCAAGUUUCUGCCCUAUCAGCUGUCGAUGGUAGGGUAUUGGCCUACCAUGGCGUUAACGGGUAACGGAGAAUUAGGGUUCGAUUCCGGAGAGGGAGCC